rnacentral:rRNA from 1 species
GCCAGCAGCUAUAUCAACCCUUCAGCUCAAAGCUGGCAGCCCACUGAGGCUCAGCAGGUGUGAGCCUGGUCAGUACCUGGAUGGGAGACUCCUGGGAAAGCUAAGGUUGUUGCUGCUU